rnacentral:rRNA from 1 species
GCCUGUAGCCACACAGAUGUGGUCAGGCCUGAACUUGAAAGCUAAGCAGUGUUGGGCCUGGUGAGUACUUGGAUGAGGAGCCAUCUGGGAAAGCCAGGUGCUAUAGUUA